rnacentral:tRNA from 1 species
GCCCAGGUGGCGGAAUUGGUAGACGCGCUGGCUUCAGGUGCCAGUGGCCGCUAGGUCGUGGAAGUUCGAGUCUUCUCCUGGGCACCA